UUACCGUAGGAGUCGUCUUGGUCCAGAAGGGAGUCGGGCUCCAUGGCGUGUGGGCCCCCAGCCCCUGGCCCCACCUGAUUUAUGAACCGAGGCUGUCUCCAUGAGCGUCUGGGUUCCUCCUUUUGUAUUCCAUCUGGCGGCUUUUCCAACUAGAUGACUGGGUAUUCCUGCAAGCAGGCCCCUUUCCAGCCCUCGCCUUCAUACAGUACAUUUAAAGUAGCAGUAACCUCUUUUUCCUCCCCCCGCAGCCUGGCUGGAAACAUUAGAAGGGACUGAGGCAGCGAGAUGUCUAAAAUAGGAAGACGCCGGGACGGUUGGCCUGGCUGCCCGUGAUGCUGGCUGCGGGGAUCUGGCCCGGCUGUGCAGAUGGAAAAGCU
rnacentral:lncRNA from 1 species